AACGAACGCUGGCGGCACGCCUAACACAUGCAAGUCGAACGAAGCAUGUUCCUUCGGGAAUAUGACUGAGUGGCAAACGGGUGAGUAACACGUGGGAAUCUACCUUUCGAUGGGGGAUAACUUUUGGAAACGAAAGCUAAUACCGCAUACGCCCUAAGGGGGAAAGAUUUAUUGUCGAAAGAUGAGCCCGCGGUGGAUUAGAUAGUUGGUGAGGUAAGAGCUCACCAAGUCAAUGAUCUAUAGCUGGUCUGAGAGGAUGAUCAGCCACACUGGGACUGAGACACGGCCCAGACUCCUACGGGAGGCAGCAGUGGGGAAUAUUGGACAAUGGGGGAAACCCUGAUCCAGCGAUGCCGCGUGAGUGAAGAA
rnacentral:rRNA from 1 species